rnacentral:rRNA from 1 species
GACGUAGGGCGCGAGCGUUGUCCGGAUUUAUUGGGCGUAAAGAGCUCGUAGGCGGCUUGUCGCGUCGACUGUGAAAACCCGUGGCUCAACCAUGUGGUCUGCAGUCGAUACGGGCAGGCUAGAGUUCGGUAGGGGAGACUGGAAUUCCUGGUGUAGCGGUGAAAUGCGCAGAUAUCAGGAGGAACACCAGUGGCGAAGGCGGUUCUCUGGGCAUUACCUGACGCUGAGGAGCGAAAGUGUGGGGAGCGAACAGG